CGGGAGAGCAAGUUAUCCGGCACCCAUCUGAACACCCCAUAGAACGGGUCAACUAGGACGGUGGUGGGAGUUAGCUGGACGACUCAUAAAGUUCCAGAAGGCGUUUGUGACACUUCUCAAGUGUCAAGGAGCUUAUUCCAAAUUGUCAGAGAGGGACAGGUCACCCAUACUACAGUCACCCACAAUAUAUUCAAAAAUGUCAGAG